CUGAAAAUCUAGCUCUUCUUAUUCUUAUGAAUACCCCACCCCUUAACCUAUAAAUAAAUCAUUUUUUACAUAAAGUAAAGGCGAUAGAAAAAUGCCUAGAAGCUAUAGAAAGUAGUACCGCAAGGGAAAGAUGAAAUAAUAAUGAAAAACUGCAAGCACCAAAAAGCAGAGCUGCAACCUCGUACCUUUUGCAUCAUGGUCUAACUAGUCCAACCAAGCAAAAUGCAUUUUUAGUUUGACCCCCCGAAACUAGGUGAGCUACUUAAAAACAGCCAUUAGGGCCAACCCGUCUCUGUUGCAAAAGAGUGGGAAGAUUUUUGAGUAGGGGUGACAGACCUAUCGAACCUAGAGAUAGCUGGUUAUUUAGGAAAAGGAUCUAAGUCCUACCUUAAAAUUUUUGUACUCCAUCAAGUAUUUCCGAAUUUUAAGAGCUAUUCAAAUAAGGUACAGCCUGUUUGAAAUAGGAUACAACCUCCAUCAAUGG
rnacentral:rRNA from 1 species